rnacentral:rRNA from 1 species
UACGUAGGGGGGCAAGCGUUGUCCGGAAUCAUUGGGCGUAAAGAGCUCGUAGGCGGUUCGGCAAGUCAGCUGUGAAAUCUCCACGCUCAACGUGGAGGGGUCAGCUGAUACUGCUGUGACUCGAGUCCGGUAGGGGAGUGUGGAAUUCCCGGUGUAGCGGUGAAAUGCGCAGAUAUCGGGAGGAACACCAGUAGCGAAGGCGGCACUCUGGGCCGGUACUGACGCUGAGGAGCGAAAGCGUGGGGAGCA